UACAGAGGUGGCAAGCGUUGUUCGGAAUUACUGGGCGUAAAGGGCGCGUAGGCGGCUCGACAAGUCCCGCGUGAAAGCCCCCGGCUCAACUGGGGAACUGCGCGGGAAACUGUCGGACUUGAGUUCGGGAGAGGGAAGCGGAAUUCCGGGUGUAGCGGUGAAAUGCGUAGAUAUCCGGAGGAACACCGGUGGCGAAGGCGGCAUCCUGGACCGGCAUUGACGCUGAGGCGCGAAAGCCAGGGGAGCAAACGGG
rnacentral:rRNA from 1 species